GCCUUGCUGAUUCAGUGGCAGAAUUCUUGCCUUCCAUGACAGAGCCCUGGGUUCCAGUCCCAGCCCAGGCA
rnacentral:tRNA from 1 species